GUGCAGCAGUCGCGAAUCUUCCACAAUGGACGAAAGUCUGAUGGAGCGACGCCGCGUGCGGGAUGAAGGCCUUAUGGGUUGUAAACCGCUGUCAGGGGGAAGAACAUCGGAAUGAACAAUACUCAUUCCGACUGACGGUUACCCCCAGAGGAAGCUCCGGCCAACUCCGUGCCAGCAGCCGCGGUAAUACGGGGGGAGCAAGCGUUGUCCGGAAUUAAUUGGGCCGUAAAGGGCGUGUAGGCGGCGAGGUAAGUCGAAUGUGAAAUCUC
rnacentral:rRNA from 1 species